CCCUAAGUGUCCCUGUCCCCUGAGUGUCCUCAGGUGACCCCAUGCCCUGUCUGUGUGUCCCCAAGUGUCCCCGUCCCCUGAGUGUCCUCAGGUGACCCCAUGUCCUGUCUGUGUGUCCCAAGUGUCCCCAUGUCCCCUGAGUGUCCCCAGGUGACCCCAUGUCCUGUCCGUGUGUCCCCACGUGUCCC
rnacentral:lncRNA from 1 species